UACAUCAUAACCACCAAGCACAACUAUCCUUGGUUCAUUGAAAGUAAACCAGUGCUUUACACGAUUGCCAAAGGUCUUAAAACAGAAGUCAGCAUAGUCUGCGAAUAGUUCCCUGCAAAACAAAUAGCAUGAUGAUAAGUCGAUAAUCACACGAUGUUCAUCGUGCAACCUUUCACAUUAGAGGUAUAGCAUGCUGCAUUUAUCUAGAUAAACAUAUAGUGGCGCUUGUCUAUUGUGCAGUUUACUUUUGGAUUAACAUACAAAAAAAAUUGCAUGCGUAAUGCUCAGUGCUUUCACCAUGCAACAUGUAUAGUCACAUUGUAAUACAAAGAAUAACUAUUUGUUUGUAUAAACCAUUUAGUUUCCACACAUAUGCUUGUAAUUCCAAACUAUAAGUCAAGAAUAACUCUGCAAAACACAAUUCUGGCACAUGCGUAGGUAGAAAGAUCGAAUACUAAUUUCGCUUACACCGUCUUUGCAUUUAACCAUCCGCCAUACUUCUUCUCAAGUGCAAGAGGGAGAUCAUAGUGGUAAAGAUUGAUAUAAGGAGUAAUGCCUGCUUAAUAUUCAAGUAAACAGUCAGAUAUUAGUGUACUCGAGUUCGCAUGGAAGUUUCAGAGGUUGAAAUAGAUGCUUAGUUAUAUUGUACCUUUCUGAAGCAAGUAAUCUAUCAGAUUGUUGUAAUACGCUACACCUUCUUCGUUAACUUUUCCUUCGCCAUCUACAGAAAUCAAAGAUGAAUCAAUGGUGGAAACAGGUUGCGCUCAUUCAGGAAAAUAUUAGAGCUAUGUAGUACCAUGCUACAACUUCAGCAAAAUUCAGGAUACCUGGGAAGAUUCUGGACCAUGAGAUAGAAAAUCGGUAGGCAUCAAAAUUUAAUCCUUUCAUGAGAUUAACAUCUUCCUGUGCCAGCAUAAAAGGAUUAAACGUAAGUCCCUGGGAUUCUUUCUUGGCAAUUGUGGUGUGAUUAUUUAAUAUUUUCCCAAAAGAAAGGUAUGCAUAUAUAGUAUUUACAGUUAUUAAUGCACCGGGAGACAUCAAUCAGCUCAACUUUGUGAACCGUGAACUAUGCAGUGUAAUUUGAACGGUUACAGAAAUUUCACUCAUAGAAAAAGCUCGGUCAGACAUCUCUUCACUUAACAAAAGAAGAUAGACACUGCCAUUGGCUUCUAUUGACAAAUAGAACAUGAUGUCUAAAGAACCAUAAAACCAGUAAGAAUUGACCUUUUGACUAGCAACCUAGAAUGCUUCAACAAUACUAGUUUUGGAGAAGUUGGAUUGCUGGUUCUGUUUCUAUAGUAGGAGCCUCGAAUGCAAGUUAUGCAACUAGUUAUAGAAUCCUCCUCUAUACAUCGUCAUCAUGCAUAAAUAUAAUUACUGCAAGUUGCUAUAACUACUACUGUAACAGUGUAACGGCUGAAAAUUAUCCCGUGGGCAUUAGGACUGCUAGAUGUCUCUUUGUUUACUUUGGAUGUAUUCCCUCCGAUUCUAAAUUCUUGUCUCUAAUUUGUCCAAAUAUGGAUUUAUCUACUCUUAAAAGGCGUCUAGAUUUAUGUAAUAUUUCGACAGCAAUUUAGGAUCGGAGGGAGUAGUACCUUGUAGUGAUGAUAUUGAUCUGUUGUGACGUCUGCAUUUUGAUUCCCCACAAUAUUUCCUGUUCAUUGCGACACAAAAAAGAAAACAUUACUGUGGACGGACGAGUUUGAUGGAUCAAGAUCAGGAAAUAAUAACCUGUUUAAAUGUCAGUAUUAAAUAAUAAGAUGUUACAAUUUAAAAAACAAUUCGCUAGCGAACUGUUUUCAGUUACAUGCACACAGUUCAAUCCAAAUUAAAUGGCAUCAUCCAAACGCGUAAACUCCCUUCCCAUUUUCCCUCCCAGAGAGCCCAUGUAAAGCCCAUUUACUCUCCAGCCCAUGCUAAGCUGCCCGGCCUGCUUGGAUUUUGCUCAAGUUGGCCCACUGCCUGUGGAGAUUUGGGACGUCGGUGAUUUAGAUUUCUGGUUUCCUAUUUGGUUGGUACCACAUCGGCAAUUUUAAACGUGUGAUCUUCAGAACUUAUCAGAAAAUCUACCGGACUCUCGUAAGCAGUAAACACUGCCAGUAGAGCAAACUAAUAUUACUAGCGGUUUCGAAGCAAAGAUUUAGGGGAAGCACAACAGAAGUGGUAAGAAUAAUAAGCAGCAAUAGCAACUGGGGCUUUGGGAGCACCUGGGGUGUGCGCGAAUGCGUCCCAGACGGAGGGCCCGCGGCCGCCGGAGAAGGCCAUGCCCUCGACCUGGUACGCUGACGUGGCCGUCCCGAAGACGAAGCCCUUGGGGAACGACGCCCGGCUCAGCCCGCCCAGCCAAUGAGAGCCAGCGCCCGCGCCCGCGGCAGCACGGACGGAAGCCCCUCCUCCAUGGUACGCGGCCACCAGGGCAAGCAGCAGCAGCCACCUCGCCGUCGUCGUCGACCUCGCCAUCUCUAUCUCUCCCCUGCCAACUGGUAAAACAUUCACGCUGUGCCAGAGCCACCCUGGGCUGCUGCUAUUUAUGAGGGAGCGCGUGGCACCCUGCUAAUAAUUGCUCCUCGGUGACGGUCGAGUUUGGACGUAUUCGGCGGGUGGGGCUGCACCGCCGAUGUGCUCUGCGGUGAGGUGAGUGACGAGGGCGGAAACGGAAAUUUAUGGGCCAGUAGACGCCUCUCCCAGUUGGGUCGUCCGCUCUCGGGGACACGUAUUGUUCUGGCGCGGCUAGCGGUGGCAGUACGUACAAACCUCGAACCUGGCCAUGGCGCAUACCAUACCUUUGCCGUUCGUACGUGCGUGCGUGCGCGCGCUCCUUUUCGAUAAUGUCCAAAUGAAACACCACCGUUUGUUAUAGCCUCAACGGAAAAAUAAAAGAAGCUACUGCAUCGAUGUAAGCUCGAGCUGCUUCACCAGAUUUCUGUUCCCAACGCAAGCCACAGCUGACAGCCCGCACCGGCCUCCGAAGGAAAGCAAUGUCGCUUCUUUUUCUAUCUCUGUUUCGCGCACCCACGAUUAUUUUAUGUCUGUCUCAGUCGCUGAAAUGUGGAUCCACACUUGAGAUCGUCACAUCAUGGUGUCGUCGUCAACUUGUGGAUCUAUGUGUUAAUAGUAGCUCCGAUUUUAAGAAAAUAAUAAUAUAAAAUCACUAACGUUAUAGAGAUGAUUUGUCUCCGAAAUCUCCCACCCACAGCUAUCGCCGAGGGAGACAGUUUCUUCACCUCCAUCUUAUACGAGCCUAGAAUGCACCCGUCCAUGCUACCCAAAUUUAUCUGCCUCAAAUAUAUUUAAAAACUGAAAACAUGUUACUUCCUCCGAUCCUAAGUACCUGUUGCUUCAGUGGUACAGUGCGCUCGGCCAGCUCACACUCAAGUCUUCCUGGAAAUUUGUUGAGAGAACAAUCCUUUCCAUGGAAACAUAAAACCAAAUAUUAGCCAUUCGACCAAAAAGAUGUGUGGACCAAGAAGAAGCACAACGAUAUCAGUGGUACAUAGAUAUUUCUAAUGAAAUAGCAGUGAUACUAAAUAUGUUAAUGAAAUAUGAACGAAUCUCAAUGAGAUAUCAAUAUCAAUAAUAUAAUAUACAUUAUGAAAUAUCAAUGAUGUAUCAAUGUUAUAUCAAAGAAAUAAUAUAUGACAAUGGAAAUAUCAAUAAUGUAUCAAUGCAAUUUUAAUAAUAUAUCAAUGAAAGAAUAAUAUGUUAAUUAAAUAUGAAUGAAAUCAGAACGAAAUAUCAAUAAAAUUAAUGAGAUUUUUUUGUGAACUAUGGGUGUAUUUUAACAAAACUCAAGGAUGUGGUGGAAAAAUAUCCUACAGACGUCGGUGGAGUGGGAAACAAACUUAAGGGUCUAAAUGAAAAAUUGUGAAUGCUUUAUCUGAGGCCACACAUCUUUGAUCUAACAGCUAAUAUUUCAGUUUUCAUGUUUCACAUGAAGGGUGAUUUCCAUCCGAUACUUUCUCAACUUUGUUGAGGACGGAGUAUCAUUUAAAUCACUCUUUUUUUUAUAAAAUCAUUUAAACCACUCUAUGGCCCCACAAGCACAUACUGUUAGGAUAUAUGGUCCUUUUAUCUGCCUUAAUCCAUCUUUUCUAGGAAGUUUUUUUUACACUCAUCUUCUCUAGUAAGUUGGUCAGAUUCGAGGAACGCUUCCCCACCUUUUCGGGAUGUACUGUCAUUCGAGGUACUCAGAAGAUACGUUGACUCCAAUACUCUAGGAUUUGCGUGUUACUUUUUUUAAUGCAUGAAUGUGUUACUCGUACUGUUUUUUUGAACUCGGACAAAUGUGUUGCAUUUUUCAUUAGCUAUUACUACAACUAAGAAGAAAGUUUGAUACUCAAUUAAAUAAAGAAGAUGAACGAAACCUUUCUUGAGGCAGCGGGAAACAUGCGAACAAGUUGGAUGUUCGUGCUGUCCCGCACGAUCGCGAGAAAUCCAAGUAACAGUUGGUGUUCUGAAGUUUUUGGAGAUUCCACCGUUGGAUUGCAAUGAAAUUUCACAUUGUGGUACUAGAAAAAAAAAUGCGCACGAUCCCACCGAAGGGAUCGUUGAAACAAUGCUCGAAUCAGCGGGAAACAUGCGAACAUCGUGGUGUCACGCACGGCCACGAGAAAUCCGAAUAACACUCGGUAUUUUGGAAAUUGGCCUGAGAUUUCACCGUUGGAUCGCGACUAAAUUUCAGUGCCGUAGAAGACACAAUUUCGCACAAUCUUAUCGAAGGGAUCGUCGAAUCAAUACUUUAGGCAGUGGAUACCUUGCGAGAGAGAAAGAAGGCAGGAGGAAGAAAUGAGCACACGACUAGAGAACAAGAGGAAGAAAAAAGAUAAACGUGAAAAUACCAUCCUAUCUUUCUGAGUUUGGGAAGGGGGGUUUAUAGAAUCAGGCCUCCCAACUUAUUAGCCAGAACUGAGGACUGAGGAGAAAUUGUUGAUUUAGACGAUAAGCAACGAAAGGGAAGCACCGCUCUCUACGGCUCUACCGUCGUUGUUACAAAACACCACGGUAAAGGAUUUGUGGCACCCCCAUACGAACCCUUGUUGAUGACGGCCAUAUAUAUGCAGUAAGUCAGUAACCGAGGGGUGAAACCUCAAAAAAUGAGCAUCUAGGAGAGAACGGCGCCCAAGACGAUGGCAUUCGCCCAGUUCGACAAGCCGGCUAUGAAUUUUCACCAGGAGACCGUGACCCCUAAGCCGGCCUCGGGUGACACGAGCCAGAGCUCCACAGACUCACCUUCAACAAGGCGAAAGAAAUGAUCAAGUCUGAUCAAACUCAGUGGUUGUGUGCGUCAUUUUGAUGCAGAGGCCGUUCAUCCUCCUUUUCGAAAAAAAAGUCUGAUCAAACUCAAUAUCGAGCACUUAACAAGUCAACAUGACCACAGCUCAAAAUUCAUGCAACAAAGGGAUGCCAUUCUGGCCAUAAUCGAUACACGAUAUGAAACGAAAGAGUGAAUUAUUGUGCCAUCUGAAUUAUGGUGCCACCCAUACAACAGUGGGUAAAAACUCAAUAGGAUGAUAAUGGCGUUAGGCUAACUCACGGGCACCCCUUCAGUGUUAGCCCUUCAGCAUGUCUCUGAACCAGUAGGCCGAUGCCUUCGGGUGCCGUUCGAGUUUGGUUGAGUUGAAGUCGACAUACACGAUGCCAAACUUGGAUGUGUAGCCAGAUCCCCACUCAAAGUUGUCGAGGAGAGACCACGCAAAGUACCCAAGCACGUUAGCGCCACCGUCGAUGGCCUUUUUCAGCUCGGCCAGGUAACUCCGGUAGAACCGAACCCUCGUGACAUCGCGCAAGUACUCAUCACGGGUGAGGUUCCCAGGUUGGUCCAUUCCUGGUGACAUGAAGAAAAAGGUAAGUGUAUGCGUGCCAAGAUGGUUGAGGUUUGAAGUCGAAAACCAAAUAAAGUUAUAUGGAGCAGUUUGCAGUACCGUUUUCGGUUAUGACGAUUGCUGGAUUUCCAUACUUCACUCUGAGGUAGUUCACACAUCCGUACAUCCCUGUCGGGACUAUGUAAAGCCAAUCAGAAUUUGCCUGCAAAGGUUCACGCAUUGACAAGGAUUUAUCAUGUUAAUAUUGAACUUAACAGUGCAACUGUGCAUGCAUGGAAUAGUAGAUGAAAACAAAGCUGAAAAGGCAGCUUGGAGCUACAUAUAUACCUUUGGUCCAAUAGGUUUGCCAUUACGCAGAGCUGCAAGAUUUGAGCCAUUGAAGAUGAAUUGACAAUAUUUAUCAUAAUAUAUUGAUGUAAAACCUACAGUUUAAGGCAAGAAACUCACAGGCAUAAGUAACCUGCCAAUCGGCUGAGUAGCUAGUCGGCGCCUGCUGCACCAGUUUCUGGCCCUUUAUGUAGCUAGCUGUGUAUUGAUUGAUCCCAAUAUAGUCUGCUGAUCCCUUGACUAUUUUAACUUCAUCAGAAGUGAACCUGGGCAAUCUCUCUUUCACAAGGUCUUGCAUUAUCUGUGGGUAGUGUCCAUUUAUUAGUGGAUCAACAAACCUGCAUCCAAUGCCACCAUAUUAGAAGUGAAUUUUUUUGUCUGAAACUAAGGGGAUUUAUCAGAUUAUACUUGUAUGGCCUUACCAACCAACAUGGAAGUCCCUGGCUCUUUGAGCUGCUGCUUCGUCUUCAGCUGAAUUUGUGAGAGCUUCAUACCAAUUGAAGUCCAGGACGAUUCCAAUCUUCCCUUGCUGAGCUGCCUACAUUUUUGUAAAAAAAAAAAUCAUUCUUCCAUCAGCACUAUAGAUAGAAUGAUAUUCAUGAGAUACAUAUCUCUCAAGAUUGAGGAAAGAAAUGCAAGUGUUAUCAUCUUCCCUUGCUGAGCUGCCUACAUUUAAAAAAAAAUCAUUCUUCCAUCAGCACUAUAGAUAGAAUGAUAUUCAUGAGAUACAUAUCUCUCAAGAUUGAGGAAAGAAAUGCAAGUGUUAUCUGGAAUGAUUGGGCGUAAAGCGUUCCCAAUUAAGGCACAUUGACACACUUGAUUUAGUAAAAGAAUCAAGAAUUAUAAUCCAAAACGAUACUCAUAUAGGCUGCUCGUACUAAAGAAAUACCUGGUACUUGUUCCGGUAUCUUGCAACUGCAUAACCAUGUGCUAAGAGAAAAUUAUGUGCAACAAUGUAAGGUUCUGUUGCUGAGUUCCCACCAGCAGCACAUUUGGUACACCUUUGAGGAGGAGUGGACCCUACAUCGUAACCAAGAAGACAAGCUAUCCUUGGUUCAUUCAAUGUAAACCAGUGCUUUACACGAUUGCCAAAGGUCUUAAAACAGAAGUCAGCAUAGUCUGCGAAUAGUUCCCUACAAAACAAAUAGUAUGAAGACAAUCAUGCGUUGAUCAAUUGGAAUGGAAAGUGGGGGUAGCCCGGUCUCGAAAAAAAAAUCAUGCGUUGCUCAGACCCUGACAAAUAUAGUGUGGUUCGGUGGUUGUACGUACGUAGUGCAGUUUACUUUUGGGUAAACACACAAGAACAUUAACAUGCAAAAAUGUUCAUUAGUCAAUCUGUGAAAUCACUUUUAGUGGAGAAUUUGUUGUACAAAGAAUAACUCAUUAUUUGUCUAAACCAUUUAGUUUUCACACAUAUGCUUGUGAUCCCAGACUAUAAGUCAACAGAAUCUGAAAAGAAAGAUCGAAUACUAAUUUGGCUUACA
rnacentral:lncRNA from 1 species